rnacentral:lncRNA from 1 species
GUGAGUCCAUAGAGUAAAGUGAAGGCAAGUUUAUUAAGAAAUUAAAGGAAUAAAAGAAUGCCUACUCCAUAGGCAGAGCAGUGGUAUGGGCUGCUUGAUUAAGUAUAAUAGUUAUUUCUUGAUUAUAUUCUUAUAGUUAUUCCUUGAUUAUAUGCUAAACAAAGGGUGGAUUAUUCAUGAGUUUUCUGGGAAAGGGGUGGGCAAUUUCUGGAACGGUUUUUCCCCUUUUUAGACCAUAUAGGGUAACUUCCUGCUGUUUCCAUGACAUUUGUAAACUGUCAUGGCACUGAUGGGAGUGUCUUUUAGCAUGCUAAUGCAUUAUGAUUACCAUAUAAUAAACGGUGAAGAAGGCCAGAGGUCACUUUUGUCACCAUCUUGGUUUUGGCUGGCUUCUUUACCACAUCCUGUUUGUUGACAAAAAGAGUCAAACUAUAGAAUAUUUGAAGAGGUUUAUUCUGAGCCAAAUAUGAGUGACCAUGGCCCAUAACACAGCCCUCAGGAGGUCCUGAGAACAUGUGCCCAAGGUGGUCAGGGUGCAGUUUGGCUUUAUACAUUUUAGGGAGAAAUGAGACUUCAAUCAAAUACAUUUAAGCAAUACAUUGCUUUGGUCCAGAAAGGUGGGACAACUCAAAGCAGGGGCUUCUAGCUUACAGAUAGAUUUAAAAUUUUUCUGGUUGACAAUUGGCUGAGUUUAUCUAAAGACCUAGGAUCAACAGAAAGGAAUGUUUGGGUUAAAAUAAAGGAUUGUGAAGACCAAAGUUCUUAUUUGCAGAGGAAGCCUUCAGGUAGAAGGCUUCAGAGAGAAUAGGUUGUAAAAUGUUUCUUAUCAGACUUAAAGUCUGUGUUGAUGUUAAUGCCAGGGAUGUAUAAUGAGGCAUGUCCUACCCUCACUUCCCAGGAUAGCCUGAAUCAGUCUUUCAGGUUGAAUUUCAAGAGUGCCCUGGCUGAAGAGGAAGUCCAUUUGGAUGGUUUGGGUGCCUUAGAAUUUUAUUUUUGGUCUAGACGUUUUAUCAGCAAGGUCUUUAUAAAAUGUAUCUUGUGCCAACCUCCUAUCUCAUCCUGUGACUUAGAGUGCCUAACUUCCUAGGAAUGCAGCCCAGUGGGUCUCAGUCUUAUUUUACCCAGCCCCUAUUCAAGAUGGGGUCACUCUGGUUCAAAUGCCUCUAACAAAACCAGAUGGCCUGGGAUGGCACCAGAGCUUCUUAACCCCUGACCAGAUACUGGAGGGAGAUAUGACCCCCAAACCAGCACAGACUGGAACAGAUGACCCCUUGUUACCUUUAGAUCAUUAACAUAUCAUUAUAAUGCUAAAUUUCCCACCCUUAUGUAAAAGGAAAAUAAAUCUCAGGACCCCAAAAUCACUAAGCCAAAGGGAAGACUCAAGUUGGGAACUGCAUCAGGCAAACCUUCCUCCCAUUCUUUUCUACAUACCUCUCUCACAAUUUGCCCACAAGGAAAUUCCUUGUGGACAAAGGACAGAUAGAACUCAAAGUCAUCCCUUUGCUCAUGUAAGACAAGUGCAUAUCUGAUUGCUUCUUUUGCCUUAUUGUUUUCACUAAGCCAGACUAAAGCAUAAGUGACUAUUCCUAUGAAGUGUGUAUUCAGUGAAAGGCUAAUCAAAAACUCAAAAGAAUAUAACCAUUUGUUUCUUAUCUACCUAUGACCUGGAAGCCCCCUCCGUGCUUUGAGUUGUCCCACUUUUCUAGACCAAACCAAUGUACAUCUUACAUGUAUUGAUUGAUGUCUCAUGUCUCCUUAAAACGCAUAAAACCAAGCUGUGCCUCAAUUGCCUUGGGCACAUGUCAUCAGGACCUCCUAAGGAUAUGUCACAGGCACGUCCUUAACCUUGACAAAGUAAACUUUCUAAAUUGACUGAGACUUGUCUCAGAUACUCUUGGUUUACACUUAUAGGAAAAUCACCACCAUUUUCUGAACAUAUGUCACAUGAAGAGGAGAGUUUAUUGUCUACGCCUGUGUCUAGGGUUCCUCCUUGCACAUGUUUGCAUACUUUCCCACCCCAUGGCUAACUCCUUAAAAUUCCCCAGUGUAUUAGUCUGUUCUUAUGCUGCUAAUAAAGACAUACCGGAGACUGGGCAAUUUAUAAAGGAGAGAGGUUUAAUUGACUCACAGUUCCACAUGGCUGGGGAGGCCUCACAAUUUUGGCAGAAGGGCCAAGUGCAGUGACUCACACCUGUAAUCCCAGAACUUUGGGAGGCUGAGACAGGCAGAUCACCGAAGUCAGGAGUUUGAGAUUAGCCUGGCCAACAUGGCGAAACCCCAUCUCUACUAAAAAUUAGCCAGGCGUGGUGGUGCACACCUGUAAUCCCAGCUCCUCAGGAGACUGAGAGAGGAGAAUGGCUUGAACCUGGGAGGCAGAGGUUGCAGUGAGCCAAGAUUGCAUUACUGUACUCCCACCUGGGUGACAGAGUGAGACUCUGUCUCAAAAAAAAAAAAAAAAAAGAAAAAAAGAAAAUCAUCCUGAAGGCAAAGACGAAGCUAAGGCAUGUCUUACUUGGUGGCAGGAAAGAGAGCAAGUGCAGCAGAACUCCUCUUUAUAAAACCAUCGGAUCUCAUGAAACUUAUUCACUAUCACAAGAACAACAUAGGAAAGACCCACCCCCAUAAUUUAAUUACCUCCCACUGGAUCCCUCCCACAACAUGUGGGAAUUAUGGGAGCUACAAUUCAAGAUGAGAUUUGGGUGGGGACACAGCCAAACCAUGUCACCCAGCUUCCCAUGUCUCAGGGAGAAGAUGCUCCUUCUACAUUCCUGGCCAGGAAUAAAAUCUGUUUGUCUUUUUUUCUGAUUGGGUGUUCCUUCUUUGCGACCAAUACAAAGUAGGAAACAAACUCAGUUUACUGGCAACAAGGGGGCUCAAACAACAGGCAGAUUGAUUAUCUACAAAUUGAACAGGCCCCGGAUGUAGUGAAUGCAGGCAAGGUUGGUUCAGUGGCUGUGUAAUGUCACAAGGACUGAGGUUGUGGGGGCCAAGAGAGAACUUUCCCCUUGGCCCUUUAAAGGUUGGCUGGAAAAUCGCUGACAUGAGGCAGAUUGGUUAAUAGGAAAAAAAGGUGUACAAGUGUAUUUAACGUGUAUACACAGGAGCCUUCGAAACGAAGACUCAACUUCCCAAUAAGGUAGAGAAGCUUAUGUGCCAACUUGAGGUUUCAGAAAGAAAGGGGCCUUGGAUUCUGAUAAAACAGGUUAUGGGAACAUGGAGAAGAGGAAGUCUAUUGAUGGGAAUAAAUGAUUAUUCAGGAGAAUGAUUGAAUGGGGAACAGAAAUUAAGUUGUAAAUAGUUCUCUUUGGAAAUUAAGUGAUCCUUGGAGAUAGUCAUCAUCUUGAAAAAGGGUCCAUUCAGGUGGUUACAUUUUGGUCUUACAGGGAGGGGAAGAAAACUGUUCUCCUUGAUAGGUCUGGAUCUUAGGCAGAUAAUGGAACUUCAGUUUCUUUGGAAGAAACGGUGGAAGGUCAGAGAGACCUUGAGUCUUGUUCUUCAGUUCAGCAUGUCGUAUUUUGGGGUACUGGUUUCUGAAAACCAACAGGUUCUUUCCAUCUUUCUGUCCUUCCAUCCUCCAUGUCCCAGCUCUGUCCUCAACCUGUUCCCUUUUUAGGGCUGCUGAUAGAGGUGUAGUGUGGUGGUUGUUAAAAGGAAAACUGUAGAGAAAUUUAACAAAGUUUAAUGGAGCAAAGAAUGAUUCAUGAAUUGGGCAGCCCCCUGAAACAGAAUAGGCUUAGGGCAACUCCAGGGUUGCCAUAUGGUCCAAUACUAUUUAUGGACAAAAAAAGUAAAGUGGCGUAUGGAAGAUGGAAGUGAGGUAAACAGAAACAAUCAGAUUGGUUACAGCUCAGAGUUGGUCUUAUUUGAACGUGGUUUGAACAGUUGGCUGCCUGUGAUCAGCCAAAUCUCAGCUGCUGUGAUUGGUUGAGACUUGGCGACUUGUUGUAAGAGUAGGUUGUGGUGUGUUUACACAUCCAGUUAGGUGACAGUUCACUAUGUAUUAAGAAACCUUUAGUCCCGACUGAAAAUAUCUAAAGAAGAAGCUGUAGACUAAAUUCAAUUUAACAAGACUAAAUCAUGGACUGGAGUUCAAAUCUCAGCUCUCUUGCUUAGAAGUCAUGCCUCAGUCUCCUCAUAUGCAAAGUAGAGGAAAAUGGAGGAAUUUAUCCCACUUGGUUGUGCUAAAAGAUAAACUGGUUUUAUUAAAAUAGUAAAGAGUUUAUUCGAACAGAGAGCAGUUCAUGAAUCAGGCGGCUCCAGAUUGCCAGCAGUCCACAGCUCCAACAAAGGAUCCUGAGGGGAGGAUUUUUAUAAGGUGCACGGAGAGGCAAGACAAAGAAAACAUCUGGCUGGUUUAAGUGCGGCAGUAGCCUAAUUUGAUUCAUUUCAGUGCACAGUUCCUAGUUAGAGUUUACUUGGCAGUUUCUGAUUAAACUUAAGUUUUGUUCUACUUCAACACUGAAUUGGGUUUUGGUUUACUUAUACAGGAACCCAGGGUGCUGGAGUUGCCUCAAUGUAAUGCCCUCCCAAUUAAUUAGCUGUUGCGAUCAUACAAGGAAUAAAUGCUGUCUGCCUUAUUUAUCAUUUUCUUGGCUGAAUCUGACUAUGCUAAUUCCAGACUUCAGACCCACAAUAUACAGUGAAGGAAGAAGAACCAUUCUUUCCAGUGUCUUUGUCUUUCUGUUAGCCUAGAGGGCGCAUGUAGAUUAAUUAGGAAACAUAUCCCCUUCCUUGAACCCCCACGCUGGAUGCUUUCUCACCUGAGGGUGACUUGUGUGCAUUAGACAACAAUGCCCAUUUGCUUUGUGUAAAGACAAAAGUGUUCUUUCUGGGUACCUGCCUCUCCACACUCCUCAUGGGCUGGUGAGCAGAAAUCAUAUGGGUCCACCCUAAAUUUCCUGGGCUGUGUGCUGUUGCUUCAAACCCUAUCUCAAAUGCCACUUAAUUUGCUUACACUGUAUCUUUAAAAUGGAAACUUUCAUCUUCCAUCAUAUCUUAUAAUUAUUUGUUUGUAUUUAAUUCCCCACAUCUGACAGUGAUCUCCACAGUGUCUUUUGCAAAUGUUCUUAAAUGUUUGUUCAUACUACUUAAUCUCUACGGAAUGGUACUGGAUCACUUUAACUUUAGGAGGUGGUGCCUUCUUAGACCUGAUAAAUCAAGUUUAGCUUAAAGCUGCCUCCUUACAUAUUUUAAGUUUGGUCUAAAGGUUUCUCCAUACAUUGUAAACUCUAACCUGACUGGAUGUGUAAAUAGACUGUAACCUACUCUUGUGCCACUCACUGAGCUUUGGUCAAUCACAGGUGCACAACUGUUCAAGUCAUGUUCAAAUAAGACAAACUGAGCUGUAACCAAUGGGCUGUUUUUGUACCUCAUUUUAGUUUUCUGUAAGUCACUUUCCUUCUAUCCAUAAAUCUUCCACCAUGUGGCUGUGCUGGAGUCUCUCUGAGCCUACUCUGGCUUGGAAGACUGCCUGAUUUGCUAAUCAUUCUUUGCUCAAAUUAAACUCUGUUAAAUUUAGUUAGUCCAGGGUUUUUUUUUUGUUUGUUUUUUUAAAAUCAAAUCUUCAGUGACUCUUUAUGGUGGUCAAUUAUGGCCAGGAUGGAUAGGAGACUACCAUGCAGAAAAGUAUGAGAGAGACUUGAAAACCAUGCAGUGAUCUUUAAAACCCUCUGAAUAUGUAUUUUCAAAUGCUGCUUUCAUAAGUCAUUAACCAUAAUUUAUUGAAUGUGUACUAUGUGUAUGGCAUUGUACUAGAUCCUUUAUAAACCAUAUAGAAUUUUUAUAGUAACCUUGAAAAGUAUGUGUUAUUAUAUCCACUGUACAUAUUGGGGGGACUGGAGGCUUAGAAAGUGGAAGUCGAGGCUUGCACACACUUAUUAUGAAAGGCCAGCUGGCAUGAUAGUGGUUCACCCUGAACAGCAGAUGGAACUGAUAACAGGCCCAUUAAAUUAUGGGCCAAAUAGUUUGCAACCUUAAGAAAUCCCUGUGAAAUGUUCAUAGAAUAUUAACUUCUUAUCUUAUCAAAGAAAAUUUUAACCCAUUGAAAUAUAAGAUUUGUGUUAGGGUCUGAAUGGCCAACCAUUUUUUUUUUUCUGUAUGUGUUUGAGAAUAAUGUGUUUUGCAAUUUUUACAUGCAGUAUUUUAUAUAAGCUUAUGGUACAGCUUGUUUAUUGUAUAAUUUAAAACUUCCUUGUCCUUACUAACUUUUGUCUGUUUAUUCUAUUGCUAAAAGUGGUAUAGUAAAUACACUACAAUAAUGCAUUUGUCAAUUUAUCUUUAGUUAUGUCACUUUCUGCUUCAUAUAUUUUGAGACCAUGUUAUUAGGUACAUAAAAUAUAAUAAUUAUAUUUUUUUCUGGCAAACUGAAGCUUAUUAUAAAUGACCCUCUUUGUUGCGAGUAAUGCCUUUUGCAUUUACAACUGAUGGAGACAGGACGCAGCCAAAAGUCCCUGGUGAAACCCCGCCUUCAAGCCUAAAACAGCCUGAAGGAUGAAAAACCAGACUUCUGGUGCCUGAUGAAGCCUGCCCUUUCCUGACUGAUUCUAAAUAAUGCCUACCUGCCAACUGGGAAGGCAGGGUGGAGCCUUCGGAAAUUCAUGACCUUCGCAGGGGAGAGGAGCUUGGCCUCUCCUAUUCCUGUGUGGUGACCUGGGAUUCAAACUGUGAGGCGGAAAACCUGCUAGCAGGAGUCUCGCUUUGCUGAGAGUUAUUUUUCUUUUCCUUUUUAUCCAAUAAAUUCCGUCUUCUCACGCUUCUAUGUGUCUGUGACCCUACUCUUUCCUGGUCGUGUGACAAGAGCCUGGUUUUAGCUGACCUAAGAAGAAAGUUCUGCAACAUUUUUGGUGUCCAGACGUGAGUCUUGAGGAAGGACAAGUACAGACAAUCACCAGGAACUAAGGAACAAGAAGCAUCCAACCCUGCAUCUGUGGGUUUCCUGAGGUGACUCUCAAUUGUCAUAGGGGUGAAGAGUGAGUGAGGAAACCCUUGGAGCACUUGUUUGCUUCACAGACAUCCUGACCUCCUUUCAACUGUAAAGACUUAGUCAGAGGACGGCGGCUCCCUCAGCCUCAUUCUGCAGUUCCAAUGACACUUUUUACAAAGGCUCUGUACUUGUCUGAUUCUUAAAUAUUCCAGUUUUUGAACUUUGCUGCAGUAGUUGUAUUCGAAAUGGGUUAAUUGUCUCAUUUUCUUUUUAAUGCCUACUCUUUCAAGGCUCAAAUCUUGAAUAGGUCAAAAAGAGCAAGAGGAAAAUGUCAGAGAAUGGAGAAAGGCAAAUACAGAGAAGCAGUGUGAACAUCCACCCGGCGAGGUGACCUGAUGGUGCUGCUCCAUGUCAGAGACAGUAGUGUCUGGGAAGAGGGAGCCCUUUCCACAGGGUGGAGCAAAAGGCCUGGAGCUGACACCUGGCUCCUGGGCCCACUCGCCCACCACCUCGAGCAACUCCCUUCCUUAACGUCUGCCCGAGUGUUAAGGGCUGAGCACAUGACCUCACAGGAGGAUGUGAGGGGCAGCGGUAACAUGUGUCUAGCACUUUGUCCCUUAUAAGUCACUCACAAAUACUUAUAUCCUUAUUAUCUUCAUCCUUUUCUCUUGAGUUUUUCUCUAAUUCUUUAAGAAGGAAACACGUAGCCAGGAAGUGGAGAGCCUCUCACAUACUUGGGGAGUUUUCAUAUUUCCCCCAUCAGUUCCUUUUCUGGCCUGAGCUCAUGCUCCCUAAGAUCAGGGCUUGGGCUUUGUUUUAGUCUGUGUUGUUAUAAAAGAAUAUCCAACAGUGUGUAAUUUAUAAAGAAAAGAGGUUGACUUGGCUCAUGGUUCUGCAGGCUGUACAGGAACAAGCUUGGCUCCAGCAUCUGCUUGGCUUCUAGGGAGGCCUCAGGAAGCCUUUACUCAUGGGGGAAGGCAAAGGGGAGCAGGCAUUAUGUGAGAGGAAGGAAGAGAGAGGCAGGGGAGGUGCCAGGCCCUUUUAAACAAUCAGCGCCCAUGGGAAAUAACAGAGCCAGAACUCACUCAUUAACUUCAGAAUGGCACCAAGCCAGUCAUAAGGAUCCACCUCCAUGACCCAGACACCUGCCACCAGGCCACGCCCAGUAUCAGGGAUCACAUUUUAACGUGAGACUCGGAGGGGACAAACAUCCAAAUCACAUCUGGCCCCAUAACCUUUGGAGACCUCAGCUCUGGCGCUAGGGUGGUAGGUCCCCUAAGGGUUCGUGCUCUCUGAAGGAAUUGGGUUACAUUACCUGGGAGAGCUUUCUGGAGGAAGUGAGCUUUGCUUCUCACAGGUUUCUAUAAGGAGAAGGAUGGGCUGUUGGAAAGGGAGUGAGUGUGUGUCCAAGUGAGGGAAAGUGAGGUUCAGCAUCUUGGUGCUCUUGGCUCAGCUUCCCUUUCUAUGCCAUGCACAGUGCCUCCAGGAUGCCAGGGGGUGCCAUCCCUGACCUGUUCUGGGGUGGGUGUGCAAGAUGCGAAAUGGCUAAUUUCAGUUCACUGGUAACUCUAACAUUUGGAUAAUAAUUGGCCAUAGCAUUAGCUUUGGUUAUACAUCUCCAAAUGUGUUAUUACAUUAUAUAUAUAUAUAUAUAUAUAUAUAUAUAUAUAUAUAUAUGCACACACACACGUAUACAUAUAUACACACAUCUACACUGUAUUGAUAUGUUGAUAUAUUGAUGUUAUGAAUUAUUUUAAAGAGUAUUCUAUUGAUGUAGAGGAUAAUAUGAAAUUCAAUAUUUUCUGGCACUCUUUUUAAAUGAUACUUAGGCCAUCUGAUGAAAACAGAGCUCAGUAAAGAUUUCUUAUUGAUAAAUCAACAUUACAAAUGAAGACUAGUUUCAUUGCCAUGAUCAGUAAAUUAAGGGUCAUAAAUUAACUGUUGAGUUAUUUUCUUUGCACUAUUAAGCCUUCCACUCAAUCUUUCUACAGUCUUUCUUAUUUAGCAAACGGUGUUACUUGAUAGAAACCUCUGCUGUGAUUUUGUUUUUUGAAAUUUAAUAAGAAAGCUAUAUAAUACAAUUCUCGGGGGAAAACAAGCAAGGUAGGUUUUUCACGGUAACCUCCAAGCAGAGAAAUGGUUUCAGUGCGCAGUCCAGUGAAUUUCCUCCAUAGAGUGUGCUGGAAGAAGUCACCUGGAAGUGAUCACCAGAGUGAUAUUCAGUUUGACUCUCAUUGGUUUGUAUAUAAUUGAUUAUAUAUAAAAACAAAUGCCAGGGUGAGGGUGGGACUAGAGUCCCCCUUUCAGGCUCCUCCCCUUGCAUUUCCAUCUGGUCUUGCAGCAAGUUAACCACGGUCCUAUCUUCAGGUUCAAUUACUCCCUUUAAAAAAUAGGUUUUAACACCUAUGUAUCUCUCAACAUUAUAUUGUUUUAUUUUGAAAAAUUGAAUAAUAACCACACACCUAGCUUUGGAAGCAAGAGGCUUCAUGGCCAGGAUCAGAUAAAUGAUCCUCUUAGAGUGGGUGGGACCUCAGCAUCCCAGAGCGUGUGGAAGAGUGCCUGCCAGGAAGCCACCAGACAAGGUCCUAAGUACAUGCAUGGAAACACUGGGCACGAUGCUGACUGUGGCAUGGGCCAAAAAGUGACAUGGGGCAGAACUUCAGUGGGAGGAGGGGUGCUCUGUACGUUCAGCUUCUAAGCCCACUGUGGCCUUCCUCUUAGGGUUUCACAGAGCCAAGCAGAAAAGGAGCACAGGUGACCUUGGCAGGAAGGCAUGCAUGGGAGAGCAGGUCUGCACUCUGGGACACCAGCCUCAACAGAAUACGAGUUUUGAAUUUUUGAAUUGCUGUUAAAACUUUCAUCAUGAACACUGAAGUGAGUGAAAAGAGACUUUUGCAGUCAUUUUUUUGCUGGCUGCAGAUGACAGUGACACCCUGGGAGUUGAGAAAUGCUUGUAAGAUGGAAGGAGGCUGUGUCCCUGAAUGAUCACCUGGAAGAGAGCCACCUUAGCCAAUGAAACUCCUGCUAUGAAUGUUUGCUGAGCAAGAAAUAUACUUACUGCUUUAUAUGCCUUUGAAGCUAUAGGUUCAUAUUGUUACCACAAUUUAAAGUGCUAUAAUAAAAAGAGUUCAGGAAGCAGGCACAUGGAAGCAAUAAGAGCAACAAACAUUUACACAGGUCCCUGGACCAUGAAGGGCCACAUCCAAGGAGCUACCCCAGGAGGCCUCUCAUUUGCAUUUGUCCCCGCUAAUGCAGGACAGAGAUCAUGGAAGUUGGGCCCGACUGGAUGAGAUUUGGGGGUCUUUGGAAGUGGAGAAUGUGUUUGCCCUGGGGAAGAGAGGUGAUGUCUAGGAGACCUCUUCACUCAGGGCAAGCUCUAUGACCUGCUUUGACUCCAGAAUGUGGUAGAAGUGGCAUCACAUAAAUUGCAGAGCCUAGGCUUCAAGAGACCUUGCAACUUGCCUCUCACUGACUUGAAGUGCUCCCAUCAGAGCAUCUUGUAAGGAGCAGGUGGAGCAUGUGGACAAGCCAUCCCCACCAGCCCCUGAGACAUGUGAGAGAGGCCAGAACAGGCCAUCCGGACCCCACUGUGCUGGUGGAUGAGACAGCAGAAGGAAUAUCAACCUACCAACAGAAUCCUGAGAAAUGCUCACUCUUACUUCAAGCUGCUGCAUUUUGAUGUUAUGAAACCAUAAAUAACUUAUGAAGUCAUCUUUGCUGACUUAAAGUUUUCCAUAACUUUAUUAUAACAUAUCAAAAUUAUGAAAAAUGUGAAAAGUAGAAAACUGAUGAAUUUUGCUUCUUCAUAUGGUCUUUAAGAAUCUCAAAGGCACUGAAGUUUUUUAUCUUUUCUGUCUUAGAAUAAAAAACCUUGAAUGAAAAUCUGCUUCUUGGAAAAGCAGCAAGGUUUAUGCAGAGGCAAUCUGGUAUUUGUGUGCACUGGCAGCUGAUCAUACCCAGCAUGCACGCACUCUCAGGGCAGAGUCUGAUGCCCCACAUAAUGGGGCAUGGUAAGGACUCCCAUGUCCUUGAGAUAAAAUGAUAAGGAAAAUACACACUGCUAUUAGAAUAACAGGCCCAGCUUCUGCACAUUUUAAUUCCCAAAGUUUUCAUGAAAGACAAUGAUUUUUUGGUACCAUGUUUAACUCUACAAGAAUCAGUAGUGAAAACUAAAAAUGAUACUUUGUGAAAGUUCAUUAAUUUUGUUUUCAGCCAGUGGUGGCCUUGGUCAGAUAGAAUCAAAUCUAUGAUACUUUUUAUCAGAAAUGCUUAUACUGUGUACAAACCCAAAGUGAUGGCUUUCAAAGAUUGAAUUUGAUUAUUUUCUGUAUGGUGCAGAUGAAAAAUUACUACACAGGAGAAGGUGGGUUGGAGGUGCUCACGAGUAACCAGGAAACAGUCUGAAGUUUUUCUGAUACUUCUCCUUGGUCCAACCAAAUGUGAGAUAUAAACACAAACUUGGGAUUCCGUUCUUAUGUUUUGGUUGUUUCAGUCUUUACAGAUGUAUCGAAAGGCUGUCCAAAAAUGUCUGACUUCUGUAGUGUGCCUUCGUAGCACUAGAGGGUUCUGCAGCUGUGAAACUGAAGGCAUUGGCAAGAAGCCCUCCAUCUUCAAACCACUUUCUGCUAAGGUGUGGCUCUAUAAAACCACUAUGAGCUGGGCUUCACUGAGACUGAGUUGUUUCAGUAGGAUCUUCCGGAAAAACAUGUUCCCUCCUUUACCUGGGUUGUCAUUCUGAGAACAAUCACACCUCCAAUUUUGGCUUACUAAGCAAUAGCGUUUUAAUGAUUUUAAGCCAGGAUUUGCUCCUCCUUUCCUCAGUAUGAGAGCUUAACCACUGGAGGAACCAAGAAUUCAUGCUGGUUGGGUUCUGAUUCCACUUUAACUUACUGUAUAGCCUCAUCCCUUGUUUUUCUGGAGAUUCUCUUUUUCUGCUUCACUGAUUUAUAUUUACAUUAAAAUCAAAUGAGGCCAUGUUUCUGAAAUCACAUUGUCCCUACAUGGUCAUUACAAUGAGUCUGUAAUGUGACUGAAAGACAGCCAUGGAUACAGGUAGAGGAUAUCAGGCAAUUGAAUGCUCAUCAAGCAUUCAAUUCAGGGCAAAUGGCAUAAGGUAUGCAGUUGGCCUCUUCUGAUAUCUGUGUCUUAAUCCUUUCUUUAGCCUCUGUUUUCUGGACCAAGGCUAAGAUAUUUUCUGGGCACAGUGGCUCAUGCCUAUAAUCCCAGCACUCUGGGAGGCCAAGGUGGGAGGAUUUCUUCAGCCCAGGAGUUCGAGACCAGCCUGGGGAACAUAGGAGACCUCAUUCCUACAAAUAAUAAAAAAAAUUAGCCAGCUCUGGUGGCGUGUGCUUAUUGGUCUCAGCUACUUGGGAGGCUGAGGUGGGAGGACUGCUUGAGCCCAGAAGAUCGCAGCUGCAUUGAGCCAUGAUUGUGCCACUGAACCCUAGCCUGAGCAACAGAGCAAGGCCUUAUCUCAAAAAAAAAAAAAAAUUCUGAGCCUUCUAAUUUUUUUUUUCUUUAAUUAACUUUCUGUAAGCCCAGCAAGUAAAUAAAACACUUAUUUUAUGAAGCAUCUAGUUGCUUUUAGGGGAAGGGACAUCCUCCGCAUAGUAUCUAGGCCAGCUCACUUUCUUCUCCUUACUGUUGAUUUACUCUCUGCCAUUGAAUCUUCUGUGCCAAUGUUGGAUUAAUGUUUCCGGGCCCUACUUUCAUCAUGCUCCUCUGUAUUAUCACCUGUUUUGGUUUACAGCAAUGAUUUUUAAGGUAAGGCAUGGUGUGUCCAUCAUAGUCACAUGGGAACUUUUUCAAGCCAUAUUAAAAAUGUCCCCCAUUCAUCAUUCUGCCCCUGGAACAGUGUGUGCAGUUGGGACCUUCAAGUAAAUCUACUUUGUUGAAACCCACUGAUCAGCAUGGUGUAUUUCAUAACUCUUUGACUUACAUUCAAGAAAUUCCUUAACCUGAACUCCAUUUUACUCUUUUUUUCAUUCAUUCAAAUUAAGAAUAUUGCCUGAACAUGAAUUAUCUGCUAGACGUUUUUCUAGGUGCAGGAGGAGUAAGGAUGAACAUAACUAGCCAUAACUAUAGCUAUCAAUUGUGGAGUGUCUGUUAUGUGCCAGGCACUUUUAAGUGACCUACUCGAUUUACUUGCAUGACAAACUGUGAGGAAAAGCCCAAUAUUAUCCCCUAUUAACAGAUGAGGAAACUGAAGCACAAACAGCAUGAAUAGUUUGUUCCAGAUUGCAUCAUAAGAGGCACAGCCAGCUUUCCUACCAAAGCAGCCCUGGCCCAGAGUCCGUACUCCCUCCUCCCCUGCCUCUGCCUGGUGGAUAAGGUCACCCUGGCCUUGUGGAACUUAUGCUCUAGUGGGGACAAAUAGUUAUAGAGAAUGACCGAUGUUACUAAGAAAAUAAAAGCUGGUAAGAAAACAGAAGCACUGAGGAGGUGACUGAAGUGAGCAUUUAUAAUUUUAUGUUAUAUCCAUUGUAAAAUAUAAGUUUAGCUUUCUCAUACCAGAAGCAGGGCUCAGUCCACCCUUGACUCAGUUUCCAAUACUGUUCCCCAUCAGAAUGGCUCUUGCUGGUGGCCAGAAGUAAAACUUAGAAAUAUCUCUCUCAGAGACACCUAAGCAGGCUGGGCUCCCCGGUUUCCUGUUGCUUCCUUUAAAGAAGCUCUUCAGACAUCUGCACAAGAACUCAAAGUGACCACCUCUCAGCCCAGCAUGACCUACUGGAACUAAUGCCUGCUUGCUUUCAACCUACCAAUUAAAGCUCCCCAGGAAACCUGUUUAGAUAACACCCUGGACCCAAGAAAGGUGCUGGGCCAUGGGUUUCUUCUCUCUCUCCCUAUCUGUGCUCCCUGACCCCCUGUGUGUGUGUGGUCUCUAGGCUUGCCUUCUAUCCCUGAGGGUCUGUAAAUACUAAAAACACUUAAACUUUCAUAUUGUAGUUGUGUCUUUGAAGCCAGGUCCCCAUCCCGUACCUUGAGGGCAAGGCCUCCUGGAAGGGACCCAUGUAGGUGGAUCCCCUGCUGUCCAGGCCUCUUAGCUGCUGGGGUAGUGACCAGUUAAGUGGAUAGAGUUUCAUUCAAAACAAUAAUCAUUCAACUGUAUCUCACAUCAAACCUCUGCUCUAGUUUAUGUAUCUACUUUAUGUUCUUAGAAGACUGUGCAAACACAUUGUCUUUUUUGAGUACCUGUCUUGUCCUAGGUACUCUGCUUGGUACGGGGAGAGACGAAUCUUCUGUCUUCAGGGGCUUCCACUCCAGCAGGGAGAACAUGACUAAUAGUGACUGCCUGCUGCUGUAGGUAAUAAGUGGCUCCCACUAGGCCCUCCAUUUGGUGGCCCCCUGUCCCUCUCACUGGUGGAAGCCUACCUGUCCUCUAAGGACCAGCUCACUAAUGUCCUAGAUCCUCACGGACCAGAUUGCUUUUCUCAGAACUGAAGAGCACUUACUAAUGGCACCUCUUGUCAUAUGCCAUCCCAGGAUUUGAAUUUUUUUUUUUUUUCUGUCUUGUGGCCCAAAUAAAUCCUGAACUCCUCGAGGGCUGGGAGUGUAUCUAGCAGUUUCCUUAUACUGGACUAAUCAGAUGCUGACUAGGUAGCAGUGAGAAAAAUCUAGAAAUUCCCUUUUAGCCACAUCGACUUACACGAGGGGAUGUGUGUAAGGUACUAUAGCUCUUUAAACAAGAGGUGGUCUCGUUUGAAGGGUGGAUUGAUGUGGGUGUUCAAAUGAUGUCACAAGUGGCUGGUUUCUCUGUCUCCAUUUCUUUUUUUUUUGGCUCCAUUUCCAAAUUUCCCAGAUAGCACAGCAAGUUGGCCCCAGCAGCUCUAGACACUCCAUCUUCUCAGGGCAUAGCCAACACAAUAAAAUAUUUCAAGUUCCUGAAAGAUAGCUGAAAUAAGCCCUAGAAGUUUCUGGAUUGGGAGCAGAGCCAAACCUGCCAGCUCACAUAGAUGAGGGCAGGGAAUAGGGUGUCUCACGAUCACAGUGUCCUGCCUUCUGAUUUGCCUGGGACUGUCCUGUUUUGGCACCAAAAAUAUCUGCAUCCUAGGAAACCCUCAGGUCCUGGGCAAAUUCAGACAGUGACUUGCCCUAUCAGAAGCAAAGCAAGGUGCCAUUACCUGAGGUGGGCAAAUUCAGACAGUGACUUGCCCUAUCAGAAGCAAAGCAAGGUUGCCAUUACCUGAGGUGGGCAAAUGGAGGCUGGGUGGCCAGUGAGUGACCAAUAACCCCAGCAUUGGAGAGAGUGGAGCAGCCCUUCAAGAAGUUCCAACCUCUGCCCAGGACUGGUUUUACCAACUUCACUAGGCUUAGAAUCGUAGGAAGUCUAUUUGGGACUUGCGAGUCUCACGUAUUCCUGCCUAAAUGUUUAUGGAUACCUGUUUAGAGCUGAAAUCUUUUCAGCUCCCAUAAUAUGAGGGAAUUAGGUCUCAAAGAAGAUCAUGUAUUUUGAUCAGACCUUAUAGCUGAGCAGUGGAAAGAAAAAAAAUCAGUGUGAGAUCUCCCAGGGUUCCGCAGGAGUGGCUUCCUUAGUCCAACUGGCAGCCUAUCCUGGAAUAUUGCCUGGGAGAGAGGUUAGUUGCUUUUCCUGGUGCUAGGAACUGAAUGGUUUUACAUAUUGAUCAAUGAAAAUACUUAUUUGGCCUACAAUAGGUGCAAAAAUACUGCUAAUUACUAACAGUAUCUCUUCUUUGCUGCGUGCCAGACACUCCACUGGGCAUUAUGCAGUUAAUAUGUACCAUGAAUUUCCCGUGGUUAGCAAUGAUGUCAGGCAUAGAAAAGACAUGAAAUUAUGAUGUCAAAUGAAUAAACUGGAAAAAGGAAUUUCUUGAAUUUUCUCCAGCUGUCCUAAGAAUGUAUCUAUACUUUGAUCCUGGCCUACCUUUUCAACAUCUAAACUUUAUUCCCCCAAGCUUCUAGAUAUUCAAAGUUAAGUAUUAAAUAAAAUCAGUAAAUAUAUACAAGCUUGUUUGGCCAUUCUGAAUAAGGUUAUAUUUCCACCACACAAUCUCCAAAUUCUCUAGCAGAAGGGAUCAGUAUGUUAUAGAUACCCCCUUUCCUUCCCUCCCUGGCAAGCCACCACAUCUGUUAUGGGUACUCAAUGCAGUGGCUGCACCUGGGCCUCACUCAUUAAGCAGUUGUUGAUUGAGUGACUGAAUUGAAUGCCUGAUGAGCUCGCAAGUAAGAUUCAGACUGUGCCUGCAAACUAAUAGGAUCCCUCCGCUUUUUAUUCACUACUGCUGAGGUAGAUCUCAGGCCAGCCUGAAGUUUAGGUCUACUGAGAAAUAAUAAGCCUCAAAAAUCGAGCUUUGCUUCACCCAGUCUCCCAGUAAACACUAAGAAAUGUUCACAUUAUUUACACAUCCUAGACUGCCUGUCUUAUGGACCAAAUGUUUGUGUUCUCCCCGCAAUUUAUACAUUGGAAUCCUAACCCUCAAUGUAAUAGCAUUAGGUGCUGGGGUCUUUGGGAGGUGAUUGGCUAAUGGACCUGGAGCCCUCAUGAUGGGAUGAGUCCCCUUAUCAGAAGAGACCUGAGAAGGCUUGCUUCCUCUCCCUGUGCUCUUCAUGAUGUGAAGACACAAGAAGACAGCCAUCUGUGGGCCAGGAAGAGGUCCUCACUGGAACCCAACCAUGCUGGCACCCCAAUCUUGAAUUUCUAGCUUCAAGAACUUGGGAAAUAAAUGUAAGCCAGCCAGCUUAUGGAUUUGUUACAGCAGCCUAAGCUAAGUCAGAGUCUCUAGAACAGCUGGUCUGGGGCAGCGGUGAAGGGAGGUGGGUGGGCAUAUGACCCUGCCCUGCACAUGAAUGGCAAAGGCAACUGGAGAGCCUCUCCCUUUUGGUGAGAUCCCCAGUCCACAAGGGCAUGUUCAUCCAUAGCUUUACUUCCCGAAGCAAAUUCUGGUUCCUGGGGCCUGUGCCUCCAUAGAUGGCAUGAUCUGCAGCCUCCUGUGGUAAUUUACCCUCUUCCUAAAUUUCUGAGUCUUCACAUUUAAGCAAUCCUAGUUAGAUAUCCUCUACCUGUAUCCAUGGCUGUCUUUCAGUCACAUUACAGACUCAUUGUGAUGACCAUGUAGGGACAAUGUGAUUUCAGAAACAUGGCCUCAUUUGAUUUUAAUGUAAAUAUAAAUCAGUGAAGCAGAAAAAGAGAAUCUCCAGAAAAACAAGGGAUGAGGCUGUACAGCAAGUUAAAGUGGAAUCAGAACCCAACUGUAGUCCAUUAUUUGUUUCAAUCCUGCUCUUUUCUACCAUAUCACCCAGUUUCCAAAUCGUUCAGCAAAUUGCCAUGGUCAAUGGGAUUAACCUUUCCCUUUUAUUCUCAGGAAAUCUCCCUUGUCCAUUUUGCAAGACUGUGUGAUUCUUUCUACUGUUACAAGGAAUAAAAGCCUUCCUAAAAAGGUCUUUGGUGCCUUUAUUAUUUUACGGAUCAUUUCUGAGGGAAUUAUUGAACUUCAUUAUGUAACCACCCCUUGGGUUCACCUUGCCCACUGCCUAGACAGAGCCAAUUUAUCCAGACAGGAGAAUUGCAAUGGAGAAAGAGUAAUUC